AGUGAACGCUGGCGGCGUGCUUAACACAUGCAAGUCGAACGAGAACGGAAUAUAGCUUGCUAUAUUUGUCAGCUAAGUGGCGCACGGGUGAGUAAUGUAUAGAUAACCUGCCCUUAAGAAAGGAAUAACAGUUGGAAACGACUGCUAAUGCCCUAUAUGCCUUUAAUACAUAAGUAUGCAAGGGAAACGCUUUAGUGCUUAAGGAUGGGUCUGUAUGGUAUCAGCUUGUUGGUGAGGUAAUGGCUCACCAAGGCCAUGACGCCUAACUGGUUUGAGAGGAUGAUCAGUCACACUGGAACUGAGACACGGUCCAGACUCCUACGGGAGGCAGCAGUGGGGAAUAUUGCACAAUGGACGAAAGUCUGAUGCAGCAACGCCGCGUGGAGGAUGACACAUUUCGGUGCGUAACUCCUUUUAUAUAGGAAGAUAAUGACGGUACUAUAUGAAUAAGCACCGGCUAACUCCGUGCCAGCCGCCGCGGUAA
rnacentral:rRNA from 1 species